UAAAGAACUAAUUAAAAUAUAAUAUUGGACUGUCAGACCAAAAUUACUGGUAACCACCCCUGUGCUCUUUAA
rnacentral:tRNA from 1 species